CUCGGACGGGGCUAAAACGAACAAGGGUCGAGUGUGGGGGGUUUUCUCAUUCUUCAUCGGGUUGUUUGCCCGAUUCAGCAACAUCGAAUACGAGAAAAAACUAUCGAUUCUGUUUAUAUGUGUUGGCUCCGCUUUUGCCAUGUUGACAAUCCCUGAGCUCCUCGUCAACUUAGCCGACACAUUCCACGAAGAGACGGAUGAAUGGGUCGAGAAACAAAAGAGUCUGAAAGUGGCGGUGCAGACGUUCUUCUGUUUGAACUUCUCAAUCAACCCGUUGCUGUACUUAAUCAUGAACAGCUACUUCCGG